UUUUUUUUUUUUUUAAUAUUAUAACUGAGCUAGAUGCUGAUGUAGGUAUUUUACUUGUUCGCUAGUCAUAAAAGUUUUAAACAACUCUUGCAGGCAAUGCAAACACCAUUUAGGAGCUAUCUUCAGGAGAUGCUGGCUCUGGUUAAAAGGGAGAAUGCAGAACGUGAGGCUUUGGGAGCUUUGCCUCUUUAUCAGCGUACACUUCCUUGAAGAACUCAUCUCCCUUUAAUCUUUUUCCAUUGAGAAUAACUACUGUACUGCUUGUAGAUCUCCCUGGUGGAGAUAGAAAUAACAUGAUGCUUGUUUGCUUCUAUGAUCCAACACUUCAAGUUAGUCAUCCUAUGGGCUUGGUCAUUGUAAACCUAUAUUUUUUUGUAUGGGCCGUACAUCUUCACCAGAGCUCCAAUAUUGCUCUGGUUGGAUUGGUUUGACAGGUUUUGUUGGUGUUUCCGAGUGUUAUACUUCCUGGAACAUAAUUUUUCUUUACCUUUCAUUUUGUUGUGGAUUUUCCAUUAAAUGUUGCAAUAUACAUUGGUUGUAAGAGUAGUUGCAUCCCUUCAUUGCCA